rnacentral:rRNA from 1 species
GAUUGCAGGCUGCAACUCGCCUGCAUGAAGUCGGAAUUGCUAGUAAUCGCAGAUCAGCAUGCUGCGGUGAAUACGUUCCCGGGCCCUGUACACACCGCCCGUCACACCAUGGGAGUCGGUAACACCCGAAGUCGGUAGCCUAACCGUAAGGAGGGCGCCGCCGAAGGUGGGAUUGAUGACUGGGGUGAAGUCGUAACAAGGUAGC